rnacentral:rRNA from 1 species
UACGUAGGGUCCGAGCGUUUGUCCGGAAUUAUUGGGCGUAAAGGGCUCGUAGGCGGUUUGUUGCGUCGGGAGUGAAAACUUACAGCUUAACUGUGAGCGUGCUUCCGAUACGGGCAGACUUGAGGUAUUCAGGGGAGAACGGAAUUCCUGGUGUAGCGGUGAAAUGCGCAGAUAUCAGGAGGAACACCGGUGGCGAAGGCGGUUCUCUGGGAAUAUCCUGACGCUGAGGAGCGAAAGUGUGGGGAGCGAACAGG